rnacentral:lncRNA from 1 species
AUGCAUAAACCCAUCCAAGAUAGACACAAUGCAUCGCAUCCCAAGAAAAUGCUGUUUGGAUCCCUAGAUUUCAUGCUGGGAACUCUGAACCUUCCUACCCUUAAGAUCAGAGAAAAUAUUUUAAGAAAAAUGGAAAAAAGAAAAAACCUAUUGUAAAGGGUUAUGGUGCAUAUUUAAUGAAGGAGCCAAGAGAAGUGCCUGCCAUACAAAGGAACUAAUCAGUCAAUCAAGAAUCAGCUCACCAGACAGAAGCCGUCAGCGCCUAACUUCUCCAUCUCCACCUGUCCAGAGAAACAACAAAACAGCAUGGAACAUGCCUGACAAUUGAGUGCAAAAGAGCACAAGCAUUUCUGUAUUUCUAAGCAUUAAAGGGGCAAGACAUUGUUGCAAAUUAAAAUUUUCAAAAAUAGAAACAACAAACCCAGCA